ACUUAAAUUGUAAUUGCGAUAAUAUAAUUAACAUUGAAAAACAACUGUAUGAAAUUAGAAAAACAAAAGUAAUAGAAGCAUUUUCAUUAGUGGUUUCGUAAAUUAAAUGUACAUUUGUACACUAAAUCUAAAUAAUAUGAAGCAUCUGCAUCAUUUUACUCAUUGGUUAUGCUAUAAAGAUAAAGGCACUGGGCACUAGUGGAGAUAAUGUCCAAAAUUAAGAAAAAAUGGAACCACUGUCCAUUUCCUUGAAGCAGAGAUGCAGCCCAGCAUCAUCUAAACCCCAUAGAAAUUAAGAAAAAAAAAAAUAAUAUAUAUAUAAUGAAAAUAUAUAUUUUCAUUAGUGGUCUCAGAUAUUUGUACCCUAAAGCUAAAUGAUGUAAAGCAUCUGCAUCAUUUUGCUCAUCUGAUAUGCUGUUAGAUAAAGGCAAUGGGCACUAGCGGGUCCAAUGGACAAAAUGACGAAAAACUGGGAAAAAAAUGGAACCACUGUCCAUUUCCUUGAAGCAGAGAUGCAGCCUAGCAUCAUCUAAACCCACAAUCUCACACUUACAUGAGUGCACAAUGAAGAACAGGUGGCAAAACACAGUUAGAGUGGGUGUGAAUAUCCAGCAGAGUGUGAAAGUGUUUUUUUCCCCCCUCUCUUUCCCGCAUAGUGUGUGCUUCAUGAGAUUGCCUGUUUUCAUGUUACACAUGCUUGGUCCAAAUCCCCUCUGUGGAUGAGAUCACCAUGUGAUAAGAGCUGCCACUGCCAUAGGAAUGAAAGCUACAGACCUUGACCACUUGACCCAAAGCGAAAAUGUAUACCAUUAAAUGAGACAGUUCAACCAAAAAUGAAAAUUGUCAUCAUUUACAGUAUUCACUCUUAUCUAAACUUCUAUGACUUUUUUCUACUAUGGAACACUUUAAAUUUUUUUAUUAUUUUUUUGGGGGGGUGAACUGUCUCUUUAGCCAGACAAUUCACAUCCGAACUAUAUUUUUACUCCCUAAGGGAAGAAAUAUAAAACUAAAUAAAUAAAAUAAAAUAACACCACACAGUUGCCUACCCC
rnacentral:lncRNA from 1 species